rnacentral:tRNA from 1 species
GCUCGAGUGGUGGAAUUGGUAGACACGCAAGACUUAAAAUCUUGUGUCCUUUUGGACGUGCGGGUUCAAGUCCCGCUCCUGGUA